rnacentral:lncRNA from 1 species
GGCGGGCUCCCCAGGGGCCUCGCGCGCCUCCUUGGAGUGUCGGGGCCUGCGGGCGUCGUGGGUGGCAUUCCGAUCCCCUCACCUACCUCGGGGCACAGCGCUGGCCUCGAGCCGCACACGGUUCCCGCACCCUACGCGUCUCGAACCCCAACCCAGGCGGCACCUGGCCCGGCUGAGGCCUGUCCGAUCGCCCCACCAGCCCCGCUCGGGCCCGCGUCAGUCCCGGCCUCCAUCUUAGGUUACAGCCCAGGCUCCCCAUCCACUGGGCACCUGCCCUCAGCCCGCUGGGUUCGGCCCGAGGCCAAGGCAACCCCCCUCCUGCCGCAGGGCUCACCUGGGGGCUUGGGCUGGGGUCUUCGAGGCCUCAGGCCCCGAGCAGACGCAGCCGCAGGUGAACCCCCCUACCCGGCCGCACCCCAAACCCACACCACCACCACCACCACAGACCAAGCUGAGCAGGAAACAAAAUGGAGGCAGCAGCUCGGGUCUGCCUCCCUGAGCCAAGCCUGUGCAGCCCCAGGGCUCCCUCCUGUCUCAGGCUCGACGCCCGCGAGGCAGAGGCUGGAUCGUCCCGGGUGCCGCGGGCAGCCGCCCUACAGCAGCGCAGACGGGCCGGGGACUCGGCCUUGCGGUGCCCACAGCCCCUCACCCACCACCCCUUCCCUUCCCCCUCCCCCCAUCCCUCUCCCUCCCCCUGCCCGGCCGUGCGGGGUGAGCGGCUCCGGGGAGCCGGGUCGGGUUACCCGCCCGGGCACUGCUCGCCCGGCCGCGGCCUCCGCGCGAGAACGAAGCCAGGCGACCCCAGCGCUGAGCCCACCCCCGCACGGAGCCGGGCUGCAGCCUGACAGCGCGCCCGCACCUCGGCCUGCAGCCGUGCGGCCCCCGCCCAGGGAGGCCGAGUCCCCAGCGCGGGCCCAGCCGGGACGAAGCUCCCUCACCACCCCCGAGCCCAAGGGUCCUCGCAGCCUCGGGCGGGGCGAGGGGAACGCCCGGGGAGGGGGUUCUCUAGUCCCUGCACCGCCUCCCGCGCCUAGUCAGGGUCUGGGCCUGGCACGGGGGCUCGGGCAGCGGGCGCCGGCCGGCGUGGGUAUGUGCGUGCGCGCCGGGCUGGGGGCCGGGACGGGCCGCGCCUCGCACCGCGGACGUUGCAGUUCUCGGCACCCAGGCAGAUGGCCCUCUCGUGCCACCGCCGCCCAUCGCGGGCCGACUGCUCCGCAGCCCGGUUCCCCGGGGAGCGCGCGCCUCGCCCCUGAGGGCCGGGCAUCUGGACCCCAGCGGAACUGCGCCGGUACACGGGACCGCCCGGCUGGCCGGGACAAGCCGGCUGGCGCAGCCCUCGGCCUGGGGCCUCACGGCCUGCAUCCUGCACCGGGCCCGCAGCACCGACCCUAG